rnacentral:rRNA from 1 species
CAGUCGAACGAGUUCUCGUUGAUGAUCGGUGCUUGCACCGAGAUUCAACAUGGAACGAGUGGCGGACGGGUGAGUAACACGUGGGUAACCUGCCCUUAAGUGGGGGAUAACAUUUGGAAACAGAUGCUAAUACCGCAUAGAUCCAAGAACCGCAUGGUUCUUGGCUGAAAGAUGGCGUAAGCUAUCGCUUUUGGAUGGACCCGCGGCGUAUUAGCUAGUUGGUGAGGUAAUGGCUCACCAAGGCGAUGAUACGUAGCCGAACUGAGAGGUUGAUCGGCCACAUUGGGACUGAGACACGGCCCAAACUCCUACGGGAGGCAGCAGUAGGGAAUCUUCCACAAUGGACGCAAGUCUGAUGGAGCAACGCCGCGUGAGUGAAGAAGGCUUUCGGGUCGUAAAACUCUGUUGUUGGAGAAGAAUGGUCGGCAGAGUAACUGUUGCCGGCGUGACGGUAUCCAACCAGAAAGCCACGGCUAACUACGUGCCAGCAGCCGCGGUAAUACGUAGGUGGCAAGCGUUAUCCGGAUUUAUUGGGCGUAAAGCGAGCGCAGGCGGUUUUUUAAGUCUGAUGUGAAAGCCCUCGGCUUAACCGAGGAAGCGCAUCGGAAACUGGGAAACUUGAGUGCAGAAGAGGACAGUGGAACUCCAUGUGUAGCGGUGAAAUGCGUAGAUAUAUGGAAGAACACCAGUGGCGAAGGCGGCUGUCUGGUCUGUAACUGACGCUGAGGCUCGAAAGCAUGGGUAGCGAACAGGAUUAGAUACCCUGGUAGUCCAUGCCGUAAACGAUGAAUGCUAGGUGUUGGAGGGUUUCCGCCCUUCAGUGCCGCAGCUAACGCAUUAAGCAUUCCGCCUGGGGAGUACGACCGCAAGGUUGAAACUCAAAGGAAUUGACGGGG